rnacentral:rRNA from 1 species
GAUGAACGCUAGCUACAGGCUUAACACAUGCAAGUCGCGGGGCAGCAUGGGGGUUGCUUGCAAUCCCCGAUGGCGACCGGCGCACGGGUGAGUAACGCGUAUCCAACCUGCCCUUCACCACGGGAUAACCCGGCGAAAGUCGGACUAAUACCGUAUGUUGUCCAUUGACGGCAUCCGAUUUGGACGAAAGGCUUGGCGGUGAGGGAUGGGGAUGCGUCCGAUUAGCCAGACGGCGGGGUAACGGCCCACCGUGGCUACGAUCGGUAGGGGUUCUGAGAGGAAGGUCCCCCACACUGGAACUGAGACACGGUCCAGACUCCUACGGGAGGCAGCAGUGAGGAAUAUUGGUCAACGGGCGUAAGCCUGAACCAGCCAAGUAGCGUGCAGGAUGACGGCCCUAUGGGUUGUAAACUGCUUUUAGGCGGGGUUAAAGUGGCCCACGUGUGGGCUUUUGCAGGUACCGCAUGAAUAAGGACCGGCUAAUUCCGUG